GGUGGUUCUCGGGUGACCCAUCCUGGAAUCGGGCUCCCUCUUCUUUGGUUCCUGAUGUAUCACCUGAGAACCGCA
rfam:Myotis lucifugus cont2.37623, whole genome shotgun sequence.